rnacentral:rRNA from 1 species
UACGUAGGGUGCGAGCGUUGUCCGGAAUUACUGGGCGUAAAGGGCUCGUAGGCGGUUUGUCGCGUCGGGAGUGAAAACACUGGGCUUAACUCAGUGCUUGCUUCCGAUACGGGCAGACUAGAGGUAUUCAGGGGAGAACGGAAUUCCUGGUGUAGCGGUGAAAUGCGCAGAUAUCAGGAGGAACACCAAUAGCGAAGGCAGCUCGCUGGGACGGUACUGACGCUAAGGCGCGAAAGCGUGGGGAGCGAACAGG